CCAGUCAAGUGAAAUAAAUUGAGUAAUACAAGUUGUCAAUAAUACCGUCAUAAAUACAUAUACAUAUCAUAUAAGGAGAUGUGGAAUGCAUAUAUUUAUUUAUAAACUUACAGAAAUGUAAAUCAAGGUUUUCAAAAUUAAAAUAAUGAAAAGAAGUGCUAUUUUUAUAUGAUAUACAUGUAGUUACAAAUUGCCUCUCAAAAUGAUAUCCGUCCAUUUUUUACAUGUACGUUGUGGUCAAACCACUCUGAAGGAACUACAGAUUUAAGAAGACUUUUAUUUUUAUGUUUCAAUAAAAUAAGAAAAUGUGGAUGUUUUGUUUGCAAAUAUUAUGAGAUUGUGUUUACC
rnacentral:lncRNA from 1 species